rnacentral:lncRNA from 1 species
AUUUGAUACGGUGCAUUUAUUUAUAUGGAUAUAUUCCAGACUUCAUUUAUGAAAGAAAAACUUGAGGCAGAGAAUUAUUUGUUUUUUUGUAGCUCUAUUUUAGAACAUUUAAUUUAAACUUGUUGAAAUGAAGUUAGUUUAAAAUUUAUCAAAGUAAGCUUUAGAAAUCCUUUUUUUUAAUUUAGAUUUAUUAUGCAUGUCUCUAUACAUAGUAAGCGACGCGUAACAGUUUAUAAGUACAUGUAGUGUUCUCUUAUAUGCAUUUGAU